rnacentral:rRNA from 1 species
AUUGAACGCUGGCGGCAGGCCUAACACAUGCAAGUCGAGCGGGGUUUUCGGACCUAGCGGCGGACGGGUGAGUAAUGCGUAGGAAGCUGCCCGAUAGAGGGGGAUACCAGUUGGAAACGACUGUUAAUACCGCAUAAUGUCUACGGACCAAAGUGUGGGACCUUCGGGCCACAUGCUAUCGGAUGUGCCUACGUGGGAUUAGCUAGUUGGUGAGGUAAUGGCUCACCAAGGCGACGAUCUCUAGCUGGUUUGAGAGGAUGAUCAGCCACACUGGAACUGAGACACGGUCCAGACUCCUACGGGAGGCAGCAGUGGGGAAUAUUGGACAAUGGGCGCAAGCCUGAUCCAGCCAUGCCGCGUGUGUGAAGAAGACCUUCGGGUUGUAAAGCACUUUCAGCGAGGAGGAAGGGUGGUGUGUUAAUAGCACAUCAUUUUGACGUUACUCGCAGAAGAAGCACCGGCUAACUCUGUGCCAGCCGCCGCAGUAA